GGCGAUACCUCGGGGGGCUCGAUUGAGCUGAGAUGUGCGUUUGCAUGGACCCGUAGAACCUGAACCGGUUAACACCGGCGGAGGGAAGGUCUGGACAAACAUC
rnacentral:ncRNA from 1 species